UACGUAGGGGGCAAGCGUUGUCCGGAAUCAUUGGGCGUAAAGAGCGCGCAGGCGGUCGUACAAGUCGCGUGUGAAAGCCCCCGGCUCAACUGGGGAGGGUCACGCGAUACUGUUCGACUCGAAGGCAGGAGAGGGAAGUGGAAUUCCCGGUGUAGUGGUGAAAUGCGUAGAUAUCGGGAGGAACACCAGUGGCGAAGGCGACUUCCUGGCCUGUUCUUGACGCUGAGGCGCGAAAGCUAGGGUAGCAAACGGG
rnacentral:rRNA from 1 species